GUUUAUGACUGGUUAAUGCAGAAAAUGCAACUUCUUUAUCCUUAGAAGUUAGCCUUAAUCGUUCUGAAGAGCUUUAUCAGAAAAAGCAUGCUGAAAUUCCUUUCAAUAAUCACUUUGAUACAAUCAUCAGAGUUCAAAAUAAGUAUCACUUGUCCAUAAUCCAAUUCCAGCAAGCAAUCAGUAUUGGAUGAAACCAAGCUGUAAUCUCAUUGCACUAUAAUAUUC
rnacentral:lncRNA from 1 species